ACAGUGUCUGGUGGGUAGUUUGACUGGGGCGGUCUCCUCCUAAAGAGUAACGGAGGAGCACGAAGGUUGGCUAAUCCUGGUCGGACAUCAGGAGGUUAGUGCAAUGGCAUAAGCCAGCUUGACUGCGAGCGUGACGGCGCGAGCAGGUGCGAAAGCAGGUCAUAGUGAUCCGGUGGUUCUGAAUGGAAGGGCCAUCGCUCAACGGAUAAAAGGUACUCCGGGGAUAACAGGCUGAUACCGCCCAAGAGUUCAUAUCGACGGCGGUGUUUGGCACCUCGAUGUCGGCUCAUCACAUCCUGGGGCUGAAGUAGGUCCCAAGGGUAUGGCUGUUCGCCAUUUAAAGUGGUACGCGAGCUGGGUUUAGAACGUCGUGAGACAGUUCGGUCCCUAUCUGCCGUGGGCGCUGGAGAACUGAGGGGGGCUGCUCCUAGUACGAGAGGACCGGAGUGGACGCAUCACUGGUGUUCGGGUUGUCAUGCCAAUGGCACUGCCCGGUAGCUAAAUGCGGAAGAGAUAAGUGCUGAAAGCAUCUAAGCACGAAACUUGCCCCGAGAUGAGUUCUCCCUGACCCUUUAAGGGUCCUGAAGGAACGUUGAAGACGACGACGUUGAUAGGCCGGGUGUGUAAGCGCAGCGAUGCGUUGAGCUAACCGGUACUAAUGAACCGUGAGGCUUAACCUUACAA
rnacentral:rRNA from 1 species